UGGACCAAUGAUGAUAACUGCCAGCGUAUGAGUCAUGGAUGAUGAAUGAUAUGUGUCUGGAACUCUGAGGUCCAA
rnacentral:snoRNA from 1 species